GUUAGUAUAAUAUAGUAAUAAAAUUAAGGGACCUGUAUAUAUAUAUAUAUAUAUAUAAUUGAGCUCCUGUACUUUUAAAAGUACUAAAUUAUUGGUGCUUGUAGAUUUUUAGCCAUUGGAUUAAGGAAUGUGCGGUUAGGAUGAUGUGCGCCUUCUAGGGUUAAGUGAGUGGUUGGUUGAAUAGUAUAAUCUAAGGGUUGAAAAUGAUCACAGGAGUAGAUCUAACGGUAAAAAAAUUACAAGUAUCAAGUAUUUGGUGCUUUUACAAGUAUCAUAGCUCUCUCUCUCUCUCUCUCUCUCUCUCUCUCUAUAUA
rnacentral:lncRNA from 1 species